UAACUUUUCAAAUGACAUAUUACAAAUCACAUGUGAGGAAAUAAUUGAUAUGCAAUACAUGAAUUGAUGAAUUUUUUUUACCUUCAACCCAAUAUUUUCGUCUGCCACGUUACUGUGUAAUAUGAUGUCAACUCAGCAAAUUGAGUAACAACAUUUUUGCAGACUUUCCGAGUUGUUGUUCCAACUCAAGGGGGGCGUUCAUGUGAUUUUUCCUAGUCGGGAACUAAUUUUUCCGAUUAUUCCGACACCUCUUGCAGCAUAUGUCAAUGUCUUCUCUGGCAUGCAGACUGUAGGCUGGUGUAAAUUCCCUUUAGUGACUCAAUUUUCACCUGCCAACACCUAAAAACAGGAUUAGAAUCACACAAUCCCAAAUGACAUGCUGGUCAAAACUGAUGUAUAACAUGAUUUCAUUUUGUAUCCUACAUCUAAAUAUUUUCACUUCAUCUGCACCAGUUUUCUGCUGAAUAAUUUGCAAAUUAAGGAAUGUACCAAAGAGACAGCUUGUUGAACACCCAAUUUACAGUAGAGAAAUUUACCUUUUAAAAGUCUCCAAAGAUGGACUAGAUCAAACAUACUGGAAGUGCAUGUUGUGGUGAAGUGACUGACUAACGAAGAAGUUAGAUUUUAAUCAAACUUCCUGUGCACUUUUGCAAGUGGCUGUGAGUGUGCAAUGUGCAGUGCUGAAGGAAGUAUUGAUCCUUUCGUAAAAGUAUUGUUUGACAUUUUGGAAAAUAGGCUUAUUUACUUUCUUAGUAAGAUGAGAAGGCAACACAGUUCUCAGUCUCAUCUCAGUUAAAUAUGAAUGGUUAGCUUAGCCUAGCAUAAAGACUGGAAACAGGGGGAAACAGCUAGCCUGGAUAUGUCCAAAGGUAACAUAGUCCUCCUACCAGCAUCUAAAUACUCACUAAUUAACAUUGGUUGAUUAAUAAAUGAACUUAAAAUAACAAGUUGUGGUUGUACUGCUUCCAGUCUUAUGCUAAGCUAUCCUGGCGACAGCUUCAUAUUUAACAGACAGACGGAGAAAACAGGUUUGUAAUGAAGUAGAAAUAUAGAAUAUUAAAUUUGUUGUUGGGAUUUGCUGUAUUUUCCCUGCUCCUCUUGUUUGUCUCCCCCACUGUUUGUCUCUCCUGUCUGUGUUCUGUGAGGCUGGGCAUGGCUAUUCCAAUUCCAUUCACCUGCCUGUUCACUCAACCACCUGGAAACCCUCAACACUGAUUGCCAUCUACUCCUACUGCAGUAUUUAAACCGGUCUCCCACUCCACUCUUCGCCAGUUUGUCAUUAUAACCUCAGUGCCUCAACCUGUCGACCACAAUCUGCAUCCUGACCACCACUCUCCACCCCGGCUGCCUGUCUCCACACCCAGCUUCCAUUUUUGAGUCUACUUUUUGUUUUGUUUUGCAAUAAACAAUUUAAAGGA